GAUUCCCUUAGUAACUGCGAGUGAAGUGGGAAAAGCUCAWAUUUAAAAUCUGGCAGUCUGAUUUUAUAUCUUUGGCUGUCCGAGUUGUAAUCUAGAGAAGUGCUACCUGUACUGGACCAUGUAUAAGUCUCCUGGGAUGGAGCAUCAUAGAGGGUGAGAAUCCCGUCUUUGACAUGGACUGCCAGUGUGYUGUGGUGUACUUUCAAAGAGUCGAGUUGUUUGGGAAUGCAGCUCUAAAUGGGUGGUAAACUCCAUCUAAAGCUAAAUAUUGGCGAGAGACCGAUAGCGAACAAGUACCGUGAGGGAAAGAUGAAAAGUACUUUGGAAAGAGAGUUAAACAGUAUGUGAAAUUGUUGAAAGGGAAACAUUUGAUGUCAGUUGUGUUAGCUAGGGAUCAGCCCAGCUUUUUU
rnacentral:rRNA from 1 species